rnacentral:rRNA from 1 species
GAUCAUGGCUCAGAUUGAACGCUGGCGGCAUGCCUUACACAUGCAAGUCGAACGGCAUCGCGGGAAAGCUUGCUUUCCUGGCGGCGAGUGGCGAACGGGUGAGUAACACAUCGGAACGUACCGGCUAGUGGGGGAUAACCCGUCGAAAGACGGGCUAAUACCGCAUACGCUCUUAGGAGGAAAGCAGGGGACCUUUGGGCCUUGCGCUAGCCGAGCGGCCGAUGUCCGAUUAGCUAGUUGGUGGGGUAAAGG